AGUUCCUAUACCACCAAAACGGACCCGUCGUCCUCGCCCCAAACCUAAAACCACAACAACUCCUGAGACUCCUCAUUCUAAACCUGAUCUUGAACCUGGUGCCCUUAGAACGGAAGCUCCUGCAACCAUGGUUCUUGUUACAUCCCUUGAACCUGUCACACUUAGAACCAAGGCUCCUGAAACAUUAGGUAAUGACGCUGUGUUCCUCAAUGCCUGUUUUCUUGCUUAUUGUCAUACUCAUCCCAAAUCGUUAUUUUAAUUAUAUCGUCAUGAGCUUUAUCACAGCCCUGUCAUCUGCU